AUAUGGCAGGUCUACACAUGCAGUCGAGCGGUAGCACAGGAGAGCUUGCUCUCUGGGUGACGAGCGGCGGACGGGUGAGUAAUGUCUGGGAAACUGCCUGAUGGAGGGGGAUAACUACUGGAAACGGUAGCUAAUACCGCAUAACGUCUACGGACCAAAGUGGGGGACCUUCGGGCCUCACGCCAUCAGAUGUGCCCAGAUGGGAUUAGCUAGUAGGUGGGGUAAUGGCUCACCUAGGCGACGAUCCCUAGCUGGUCUGAGAGGAUGACCAGCCACACUGGAACUGAGACACGGUCCAGACUCCUACGGGAGGCAGCAGUGGGGAAUAUUGCACAAUGGGCGCAAGCCUGAUGCAGCCAUGCCGCGUGUGUGAAGAAGGCCUUAGGGUUGUAAAGCACUUUCAGCGAGGAGGAAGGGUUCAGUGUUAAUAGCACUGUGCAUUGACGUUACUCGCAGAAGAAGCACCGGCUAACUCCGUGCCAGCAGCCGCGGUAAUACGGAGGGUGCAAGCGUUAAUCGGAAUUACUGGGCGUAAAGCGCACGCAGGCGGUUUGUUAAGUCAGAUGUGAAAUCCCCGCGCUUAACGUGGGAACUGCAUUUGAAACUGGCAAGCUAGAGUCUUGUAGAGGGGGGUAGAAUUCCAGGUGUAGCGGUGAAAUGCGUAGAGAUCUGGAGGAAUACCGGUGGCGAAGGCGGCCCCCUGGACAAAGACUGACGCUCAGGUGCGAAAGCGUGGGGAGCAAACAGGAUUAGAUACCCUGGUAGUCCACGCUGUAAACGAUGUCGAUUUGGAGGUUGUGCCCUUGAGGCGUGGCUUCCGGAGCUAACGCGUUAAAUCGACCGCCUGGGGAGUACGGCCGCAAGGUUAAAACUCAAAUGAAUUGACGGGGGCCCGCACAAGCGGUGGAGCAUGUGGUUUAAUUCGAUGCAACGCGAAGAACCUUACCUACUCUUGACAUCCAGAGAACUUUCCAGAGAUGGAUUGGUGCCUUCGGGAACUCUGAGACAGGUGCUGCAUGGCUGUCGUCAGCUCGUGUGUGAAAUGUUGGGGUUAGGUCCCGCACGAGCGCACCCUUAUCCUUUGUGCCAGCGAUCGUCGGGACUCAAAGGAGACUGCGGUGAUAAACGAGAGGUGGGGAUGACGUCAGGUCAUCAUGCCCUACGAGUAGGGCCUACCCACCUGCUACAUGCUACCAAGAAGCGAACUCGCGAGAGACAAGCGGAACCUUCUUAUAAGU
rnacentral:rRNA from 1 species